GAUGAACGCUGGCGGCGUGCCUAAUACAUGCAAGUCGAGCGAACGGACGAGAAGCUUGCUUCUCUGAUGUUAGCGGCGGACGGGUGAGUAACACGUGGAUAACCUACCUAUAAGACUGGGAUAACUUCGGGAAACCGGAGCUAAUACCGGAUAAUAUUUUGAACCGCAUGGUUCAAAAGUGAAAGACGGUCUUGCUGUCACUUAUAGAUGGAUCCGCGCUGCAUUAGCUAGUUGGUAAGGUAACGGCUUACCAAGGCAACGAUGCAUAGCCGACCUGAGAGGGUGAUCGGCCACACUGGAACUGAGACACGGUCCAGACUCCUACGGGAGGCAGCAGUAGGGAAUCUUCCGCAAAGGGCGAAAGCCCGACGGAGCAACGCCGCGUGAGUGAUGAAGGUCUUCGGAUCGUAAAACUCUGUUAUUAGGGAAGAACAUAUGUGUAAGUAACUGUGCACAUCUUGACGGUACCUAAUCAGAAAGCCACGGCUAACUACGUG
rnacentral:rRNA from 1 species